rnacentral:lncRNA from 1 species
AUUUCCCAAGGCUGAAUCACUUAUCCAUUUAUUUAAUCAAGCAGAAGUUCAUAUUGAAGGCCAAAUAGGUGGUGGAUAUAGAAGACCUGACUGUAAAAUAGAGAUGCCUCAUGCCACUCAGGGAGCUUACAGUCUCAUGGGGAAGACAGACCAAGAUGACAAGCACAUCAAAUAAGGAAACCACCAGAGCACCCAGAGAGGCAAUCAUGGGAGGUGUGGCAGCCCACUUUGAACACCGUUGUUGCUGUUUACUUUGCAGCUCUCUCUAAGGAAGCGACAUAUAAGUCAAGCAUGAAAGAUGAAGAGGAGCAGAUUGUAUGCAGAGCAGAGGGAAGAGCAAGCUGAUGGAGGAGACUAACCAGUGAGCUUGAUGACCCCAGAGAAUACCUUCCUUCCUAUCUGUGCAGUGAUUAUUCCACAAUGGGAGGACACGCUGAGCAUGAGAAGCCAGACUUUCUCCCAUCAAGCCCUGCACAACACUGUCCCCCGCCAACCAACCACCCUGGCCCAGUUUCUCAGAAGCAUGUGCUAUGAAGUUCUCUACGCUGCUGAAGAUUACCAGGAUGACAGAAACACAGAACCUGGGGGGCUUCCUGGUUCUCUUGGGAGGUGUCUCUUCUCUUCAGUCCCCUUCUUCUAAUGGGGCUAGAUUAGAUGAAGGGGACUGGUGAAUAGCUCUACAACCUAUUUGCCAUGUUAACAAGGUAGGCUACCUAGCUCCUCAGAGCUUGUAAGAUGAGAACAGCGUUUUUCUGAUUUGGCUGAUAUAAAGGUCUGCAUAGCACUAACAAGUUGUGUGGGUCCCUCCAGGUUCAUGUUUUACCUUUUUUUCUUUCUUUCUCUUUUUUUCUUAAUUGAGACAAGCUUUCACUAUGUUGCCCCGGCUGGUCUCUCAUGCCUGGGCUCAAGUGAUUCUCCCACCUUGGCCUCCCAAAGUGCUGAGAUUACAGAGUGAGCCAUCAUGUCUGCUCCCUGCCCCCUUCCUUUUUUUUUUUUUAGAAACAGGGUUUCACUCUGUCUUCCAGUCUGGAACAAGUGUGAUGGCACAGUCCUAGCUCACUGAGCCUCAAACUCCUGGUCUCAAGCAAUUAUCCUGCCUUAGCCUCCCAAGUAGCUGAGACUUCAGAUGUAUACCACCACACCCAGUUAAUUUUUUAAUCAUUUUUUGUAGAGGUGAAGUCUCACUAUGUUGCUCAGGCUGGUCUCACACUACUGGCUUCAAGUGAUUCUCCCACUUUGGCUUCCCAAAGUACUGAGAUUAUAGGUGUGAGCCACCUCACCUGGUUGUUUUACCCUUUUUGAUAGGUGCUACGCCCUGGGAGGUUGACCUAUAUGAAUGGUGUCAACAAGUUCUAUUGCCACCUGACUUUCUGUGGGAUAUGCUCAUAGAGGCACCAGAAGAUGACCAGAGUUGAGAGAAGAGGGAGACUCAGAAAUUUACUCACCACGCUCCCUCCUUGCCAGGUUAAAUGUAACCCCCAAAAGUUUAAAUGUAUCCUCCAAAAGCUCAUGUGCUGAAAAUUUCAUUGUCAAUGUAACAAUAUUAAGAUGUGGAGCAUUUAAGAGUUGAUUGGGUCAUGAGUGUAGAGCCCUUAUGAAUGGAUUCAUGCCAUUAAGGCAGAAAUUAGUUCUACUGAGACCAGAUUAUUACAAAAGUAAGCAUGACUCACUCUUGUGAUCUCUUUCUCACAGGCUCACUUGCCUUUUUGCUUUUCUGGCAUGUUAUGAUGUGGUACUAAAGCCCUUGCCAGAAGCUGCUGCCAUGCCCUUGGACUUCCCAGUCUCCAGAACCAUGAGCCAAAUAAACUUCUUUCCGC